UACGAAGGGGGCUAGCGUUGCUCGGAAUUACUGGGCGUAAAGGGCGCGUAGGCGGACAGUUUAGUCAGAGGUGAAAGCCCAGGGCUCAACCUUGGAAUUGCCUUUGAUACUGGCUGUCUUGAGUUCGGGAGAGGUGAGUGGAAUGCCGAGUGUAGAGGUGAAAUUCGUAGAUAUUCGGCGGAACACCAGUGGCGAAGGCGGCGAUCUGGACGAUGACUGACGCUGAGACGCGAAAGCGUGGGGAGCAAACAGG
rnacentral:rRNA from 1 species